rnacentral:rRNA from 1 species
GACGAACGCUGGCGGCGUGCUUAACACAUGCCAGUCGAACGGAAAGGCCCUGCUUUUGUGGGGUGCUCGAGUGGCGAACGGGUGAGUAACACGUGAGUAACCUGCCCUUGACUUUGGGAUAACUUCAGGAAACUGGGGCUAAUACCGGAUAGGAGCUCCUGCUGCAUGGUGGGGGUUGGAAAGUUUCGGCGGUUGGGGAUGGACUCGCGGCUUAUCAGCUUGUUGGUGGGGUAGUGGCUUACCAAGGCUUUGACGGGUAGCCGGCCUGAGAGGGUGACCGGCCACAAUGGGACUGAGAUACGGACCAGAAUCCAACGGGAGGCAGCAGUGGGGAAUAUUGCACAAUGGGCGGAAGCCUGAUGCAGCAACGCCGCGUGCGGGAUGACGGCCUUCGGGUUGUAAACCGCUUUCGCCUGUGACGAAGCGUGAGUGACGGUAAUGGGUAAAGAAGCACCGGCUAACUACGUG